rnacentral:rRNA from 1 species
CAGCAGCCGCGGGAAUACGUAGGGGGCGAGCGUUGUCCGAAGUUACUGGGCGUAAAGAGCGCGUAGGCGGGUUCUUAAGUGAGGGGUGAAAGGUUCAGGGCUCAACCCGGACACUGCCUUUCAUACUGGGAACCUUGAGUGUGGGAGAGGCGAGUGGAAUGGUCGGUGUAGCGGUGAAAUGCGUAGAUAUCGAUCGGAACACCCAUGGCGAAGGCAGCUCGCUGGCCUAUAACUGACGCUGGGGCGCGAAAGCGUGGGGAGCAAACAGGAUUAGAUACCCCCGUAGUCCCUGUCUCUUAUA